rnacentral:rRNA from 1 species
AGGGCAUACGGCGGAUGCCUAGGCGCCAUCAGCCGAUGAAGGACGCGGUAAGCUGCGAAAAGCUACGGGGAACUGCAAGCAAGUAUUGAUCCGUAGAUGUCCGAAUGGGGAAACCCACCUGCCGUCAUGGGCAGGUAUCCGAAAGGAAGGGAACCCGGGGAACUGAAACAUCUAAGUACCCGGAGGAAGAGAAAUCAAACGAGAUGCCCACAGUAGCGGCGAGCGAAGAGGGCAGAGGGCAAACCGGGGAGCUACGGCUCUUCGGGGUUGAGGACUGCAUUUAGUCUUAAUGGUCUAUCCGAACUACCUGGAAAGGUAGGCAACACAGUGUAAAAGCCACGUAGGUUAAAGUCCAGAGAGAUGAGCAGUAUCCAGAGUACCACGAGGCACGAGGAAUCUUGUGGGAAGCCGGGGGGACCACCCUCCAACCCUAAACACUGAAUGGCGACCGAUAGCGCAUAGUACCGUGAGGGAAAGGUGAAAAGAACCCCGGGAGGGGAGUGAAAGAGAACCUGAAACCGUAUGUCUACAAGCAGUCGGAGCGAAAGCGACGGCGUGCCUAUUGAAGAAUGAACCAACGAGUUACGUGCACUAGCGAGGUUAAGUGGAAGACACGGAGCCGAAGCGAAAGCGAGUCUUAAGAGGGCGGAUAGUUAGUGUACGUAGACCCGAAACCGCAGUGAUCUACCCAUGUCCAGGUUGAAGCGCAGGUAAAAUUGCGUGGAGGACCGAACCUGUGAGCGUUGAAAAGCUUUAGGAUGAGAUGUGGGUAGAGGUGAAAUUCCAAUCGAACGCGGAGAUAGCUGGUUCUCCCCGAAAUAGCUUUAGGGCUAGCCUCAAGUAGUAAGUAUAGGCGGUAGAGCACUGAUCGGGCUAGGGGCCAUAAAGGUUACCGAACCCUGUCAAACUCCGAAUGGUUAUACUGUAGAGCUUGGGAGUCAGACUACGAGUGAUAAGAUCCGUGGUCAAAAGGGAAACAGCCCAGACCACCAGCUAAGGUCCCCAAUGUCGUACUAAGUGGAAAAGGAUGUGGGGUCUCUAAAACAACCAGGAUGUUGGCUUAGAAGCAGCCACCAUUUAAAGAGUGCGUAAUAGCUCACUGGUCGAGAGACCCUGCGCCGAAGAUUACCGGGGCUAAAGUACGAAACCGAAGCUGUGGCUACGACGUAAGUCGUGGGGUAGGGGAGCGUUCUGUGAGGGCUGAAGUCGUUCUGUAAGGAACGGUGGACUUCACAGAAGUGAGAAUGUUGGUAUGAGUAGCGAAAAGAAUGGUGAGAAUCCAUUCCACCGAAAGCAUAAGGAUUCCUGGGCAACGAUCGUCGUCCCAGGGUAAGUCGGGACCUAAUCCGAGGCAUAGAGCGUAGGAGAUGGACAACUGGCAGAUAUUCCAGUACCGGUAAUGAUUGUUUGAGCGAUGGAGUGACACAGGAGGGCAGGCAGGCAGGAGAUUGGUUGUUCCUGUACAAGCGUGUAGGAUGGGGCGUAGGCAAAUCCGCGUCCUGUGAGUCUGAGGCGUGAUGUGGAGGUUCCGGAAACGGAACUGAAGCUGCUGACCCCACACUGUCGAGAAAAGCUUCUAGUUAGAGAAUUACCGCCCGUACCGUAAACCGACACAGGUAUGCGGGGAGAGAAUCCUAAGGUGCGCGGGAGAACCCUCGUUAAGGAACUCGGCAAAAUGUACCCGUAACUUCGGGAUAAGGGUAGCCGCUGUUGUGAAGUCUGCACAGACGGAGCAUGAGGCGGUCGCAGAGAAGAGGCCCAAGCGACUGUUUACCACAAACACAGGUGCCUGCUAAAGAGAAAUCUGACGUAUAGGUGCUGACACCUGCCCAGUGCCGGAAGGUUAAGGAAGGAUGUCCGGAGCAAUCCAAAGCAUUCGACCGAAGCCCCGGUAAACGGCGGCCGUAACUAUAACGGUCCUAAGGUAGCGAAAUUCCUUGUCGGGUAAGUUCCGACCCGCACGAAAGGUGUAACGAUUUGGGCACUGUCUCAACGAGGGACCCGGUGAAAUUGAAGUACCUGUGAAGAUGCAGGUUACCCGCGACUGGACAGAAAGACCCCAUGGAGCUUUACUGUAACCUGACAUUGGGUUCUGAUACAUCACGUACAGGAUAGGUGGGAGGCAUGGAAGCGAGGACGCUAGUCUUCGUGGAGCCGCCGUUGGGAUACCACCCUUGAUGUAUCGGAAUUCUAACCGUAGGAGUAACGAAACUCGGGACAGUGUCAGGCGGGCAGUUUGACUGGGGCGG